UAAGUGAGUACUUGCAUUCUCAGUGCUUUGAUAUCCCUCAGAACUAGUUCGACAAUCACUAUACUAUAACAUUUGUCUUAGGAGCCAUGAAAACUCCUACCCUGACAUGUCUCACUUGAGUCUUCUUCCAAUGGCAAUAAUGAGUAACGAAAUUAUUUUUUCCAGCCAUAAAAAAUGUUUGAUGGUAUCCUCUAGACUUUCAAAUCUUCACUCAUGAAGACAUUUGUUUCACAUAAAUCUUCCCG
rnacentral:lncRNA from 1 species